GGCAGACAGAGACUGGAUGGUGACCAGAGAGCCAGGAGACCCCAGCCCAGCCCGAUGACCCGGGCCUGGGGCUGCCUCUCUGCUCCUGAGGGGCUAGUUAGUUAGAGGGGUCUGGGAAGACUUGGCCCCAGGGGUCCCGCACAGAUUCCGUCUGGGAGGGAGGAGACUGAACUAAAGGGCCCUGGCCAUGUGGGGAGCCACAGACCCCCUAGCCCUUCAGGGGCUUGUCUUAAUGGAAGGAGCUCACCUGCUCCGGCCAGACGGACCCCAGGCCACAGGAGGUUGGCACUGUCCUGAGAGGCCUGCAGCCUGGAACCUUCCCUGCUUUCCCCAGGGACUGAGGUUGUGGGGGGGGCCUGCCAGAGUCCUGCCCAGAGCUGAGGCCUGGCCUCCUCCCAUAGGAGCCUGAGGAUGGGGAGACACAGAACAGGUGGCCAUCAGCCCCUCCCUCAGAUUCUAAACACAGCCCAGCUUCCCAUCACCCCUGACGUGGGCAGCACCUGGAGGGACAGUGGGACCCGGACUGGCAGGUGAGCCGUACAUACGUACAUACGGAUGGAACGAAUUGACGAUGCAAACCCCGGCCCGGGAAGGAGGGCCGGCGCUCAAUGAACUCCUCCUUGAACUCUUCCUCUCCCUUGAAGCCCCUCAGUUUGGUGACACAGAUUUUACUGUAAUUAAUAAUAAUGUCACCUUUCACCGUGAAAGUGAAAGUUGUGUCCGACUCUUUGGGACUCUACACAGUCCACGGAAUUCUCCAUAACUGGAGUCCAGCUCGGAGGCAGCCACUGAACUUAGGUCUCUGAAGCGGGGGUGGAUGCAAGACAAGCCACUGACAUAUGGAAAGAAACAAAACCUUUCUAUUUCUACUCUUUAUCUCAUCCUUUGAAAAUUGCAACCUUUGUGGGUACAUAAUGUAUAAACCUAGCAAUACGGUGCCUAUGGUUUACAAGUAAAUCAAUCUACAAACUCUGGAACAUUUCCUGGAGAAGAAACAGCCUGCCAUCCCAGUGGGCUGCACCCAGGGACUCCCCCUUAGUAGGUGCCCAAUAAAUACUCUGUGCUUGAAAGGGUGCCCAGGGGUUCUGGUUGGAAAGCAGCUGGGAGGGGGGGCUCUCUUCCUGCAGGGAAGACGCACCCCAAGCCCUCCAGGGGCCCAGGCUGACCAGCAACCUCGGGGGGCGUGACGGCGGCCGGCCCCGCCCCCUCCCGGCGCGGCACCACCUCCCUCGGGGUGGCCGCGAGGUUACCGGGAAGGGAGGCGGGCUCGCAGCUCAGCUGCUGACAUC
ensembl:lncRNA